rnacentral:rRNA from 1 species
UGGGGAAUUUGGGACAAUGGGGGAAACCCUGAUCCAGCCAUCCCGCGUGUGCGAUGAAGGCCUUCGGGUUGUAAAGCACUUUUGGCAGGAAAGAAACGUCAUGGGUUAAUACCCCGUGAAACUGACGGUACCUGCAGAAUAAGCACCGGCUAACUACGUGCCAGCAGCCGCGGUAAUACGUAGGGUGCAAGCGUUAAUCGGAAUUACUGGGCGUAAAGCGUGCGCAGGCGGUUCGGAAAGAAAGAUGUGAAAUCCCAGAGCUCAACUUUUGACCUGCAUUUUUAACUACCCGGCUAGAUUGUGUCAUACGGCUGUUGAAUUCCGCGUCUCGCAGUGAAAUGCGUAGAUAUGCCUAGGAACACCGAUGGCGAAGGCAGCCUCCUGGGAUAACACUGACGCUCAUGCACGAAAGCGUGUGGAGCAAACAGG